GCGACCGCCUUUAUCUUUUCCGCACUUUCCCGCAGCAGCUCGCGGAACUCGUUUUUCGCUUCCUGGUAGGGGAGACAGAAAAUGUGUGAAGGCGAUCCAAUCAUAUUCGACGAGAAUAGUAAUCGUUAAUAUUCGUUGGUUACACAAACUGCAAAAUGAAUGGUAAAGGCAACGUGUCCAGUUUUUCAAACCAGGAGAACGAAUGACGGUGAAAAUGAAUUUUAGUUUUAAAAACUCUUCUGCUGAAAGCGAGUUUCAAAAGUUUUGGACAUAUCUGGACGAUGUCUAGCACCUUAUGGAAUGCCAACAGUUCCAGAAUCGACUCCAAUCCGACUCCGAUAAUUUCGGAACUGACUGCGGAAGAUAGGUCCGCCCAGGACCGUCCGAAGUCGUCUGGAGUCGUUCGGAGACGAUCCGAGUCAUCUGGGGUCAUUCGGAGUCGUACGGAGUCACCCGGAGUCGAAGUCGUCCAGAUUCGCCUGGAGUCGUCAAGAGUCACCCAGAGUCGUCCAGAGUCGUCCGGAGUCGGACGAAGUUGUCCGGAGUUGGAGUCGUCCGGAGUCGUGUGGAAUCGUCCAGAGUCACCUGGAGACGAUGUCGUACGGAAUCGGCUGGAGUCGGAGUGUUCCGGAGUCAGCCUUCGAAACAAACGCCGAAAUGCGCACGCAAAGUGAAAGAUAAAAAACACAACGAAAUGAAAUGCCUGAUCACAAGCGCGUUGUACAGGACGGCUCUAGUUGACUCCGAUCGACUCUGGACGACUCCGAAUGACUCCGAAUAACUCCGACUCCUGUCGACUCCGGACGAGAUCCGCACGACUCUGGACGACUCUGGGCGACUUCGAUUGACUCUGGACAACUCCGGACGACUCCGGAUGACUCCGACUCCGAACAACUCCGGAUUACUCCGACUCCGAACAACUCCGGAUUACUUCGGGCGAUUCCGGACGGCUCCAGACGAUUCCGAACGACUCCGGAUAAUGCUGGGCAGGACGUACCUUCCGGAGUUGGUUCAGAUAUUACGGGAGUAGGAUCGGAGUCGACCCCGGAUUUUUGCCUACUUUACUCAUCAUUCCAGAGUCCAGCGUCAUCUGGAGUCGUCUAGAGUUGCUCAGAGUCGUCCGGAGUCGCACGAAGUCGGUGUCGCUUGGAAUCGGUUGGAGUUGGAGUCUUCCGGAGACGGCCUGCGCAACAAAGGCUUGUAAUCGAAAUGCACACGCAAAGUGAAAGACAAAAAAGCACAACGAAAUGAAAUGCCUUAUAACAAGCACAUUGCUCCGGACGGCUCCAGUUGACUCCGAUCGACUCUGGACGACUCCGAACAACUCCGACUCCUGUCGACUCCGCACGACUCCAACUCCGGAGGACUCCGCACGACUCUGGACGACUCCGGAUGACUCCGCACGACCCUGGACGUCUCCGGGCGACUCCGUACGACUUCGGACGAUUGCAGACGACUCCAGACGUCUCCGAAUGACUCCGACUCCCUAGCAGAACUAGUGGUUCCAAGUUUUCCGUAGUCGAAAUCGGACUGAAAAUAGCCGUAGUUGGAUCGGAGUCGUGGGAGCGUUCCAGAGCGUACAUCACUAUUGCAAACACAUUUAAGCAUCUCGGCAAUGGAGUUUCUUUAAAGCUGAUGCACCCGUCCUGGCUGCGCUCAAUAGGGAAAAGAUGCAAAAAAAAAAAAACAAACAAUUUUGGCACCGAUUUCUAUGUGCGUUUAGGAUGAUCUCACUGCUCUGCCGCAUGCAGCAGUGAUUUGGUCAAGGCUCAGGACGUUCCUUAGAUACUGCUGAAGCCUAAGGCCAGCGCUGGACAACAACCCACCGAAUGUGAAAAGGAUUAGCGAAGACAUGCCAAAUUUGCACAGACGGCCUGACGACCAGAUUUGGUCGAAAGUGUCAAGGACAUUUGCAAUAAAUGCCGACCCGGCCCAUAUCCUUCA